rnacentral:lncRNA from 1 species
UAAUCUGGAGUUCUGUUUUCCUUUCACACUUAAGGGAAGGGAAAACUGUGUUUUGGCUCCUGGUUUUUGUGUGGGUUUUUUUUUUUUUUUUUUUUUUUUUUUUUUAACAUAGGACACCUGUGUGACCAUGCUUGUGGCAGCAGCUAGCAAAGAUCUGAUUACAGCUAUUUGGUAUCCAGACUAAUGAAUCAAACAAAUGCAUUCCUAUCUGGAAACUACAACAUCAAUUGCCUUAGAAAUCCUACUAUUCUUGGUGAUUCAGAAUCAGCAGUCGAUCAACAGAGAGAUGAAUAAAGUGCUGUUCAUCCCUUUUGUUUCUUUUUUAGGCUACUUGGGAAAUGAAUUCUUAAAAAUGCCAUAAGGACAAUCUGCCUUCCAGAUUUGUCACCCUUCUCAAGAUAGAAAUUUCAGUAUUAACAAUACGUCCAAAGCAGAGUCAAGAAGAAAACCAUAGGGAAAAUGUACUACUUGUACUUUCACUGGAUCCAGUAAAAGGAACCACUUGGGCUGUAUAUCUACCUUGUGCUUUAAACAAGCAAGCAUUCAUCUCUGAAGAUGGGUUGCAGUAAAAGAACUGCAAAACAGCACAAGACAGAGUGGAGGAAGAAGCACUUGGAGCAUCGCCUGCUGGGAACAUAUUCCACAAUCUCUGUGCCUACUUAAUGCAAGUACCCUUCAGCACGGCACACUGACCAUCUGUCUGCCCUCAUGUGCCACAUUUCUGCACCAGAAAAAUUUGGAAACAGCCAUAAGAAGCCAAACUCUUUUCAGAGCUCCUGGAGAAAACAGGCUGCAUCUGCAGCUGCCACUGCUGCAUUCCCAGUGUGAUGCAUUCCCUGUCAAGUCUGCCACUGCAGAUGCUUGUGGACCCAUAACCAAGGUCAGUCUUGGGAUAAGAUAUCAAUGAUCAAAAAAAUACCUUUGAGGAAGAAGUGAAGAAUGGACUUCUUGGUUACGUGUGGAGACUCACAAAGUUGCACUGUGGCUCAAGGGGCCCAAACUUGGACACAGGCCUGGUCUUCUCAAUUGUGGAGUAGAAGGACCUCUUCUCUGGACUUGGUAUUCCUUUCUGCCAGGGUGCACUGCUGGCUCAUGUAGAGUUUGCUGCCUGCUGGACACUUGUGUCCUUUUCUUCAGAGCUGUCUUGAACAGACAGUUCCCAAAUGCUCAGGUGUGCCGGGUUGUUUUUCACUGAGUGUUGCACUGCCUGCCUCCCUCACACACCUGUUGCGCCCAGACACCGCUCCCACACAGUGCCAGCGGCGGGCAGCAGCAGCAGCUCUCCUUCUGGGCCCAUUGCCUCCCCUUCCUGAGGGGCUGCAGCCCGUGGGCAGCGUGGAGGAGCCUCAUGAG